AGUGAACGCUGGCGGUAGGCCUAACACAUGCAAGUCGAACGGCAGCACAGUAAGAGCUUGCUUUUACGGGUUGCGAGUGGCGGACGGGUGAGGAAAACAUCGGACUCUCCUUUUUCGUGGUGGAUAACGUAGAGAAAGACUCGCUACUACCGCAUACGCGCUACGGGUGUAAGGAGGGGUACUUCGGAACUUGAGUGGUUGAUUGAGUUGAUGUGGGUUUAGCUAGUUGGGGGGGUAAAGGCCAACCAAGGCGACGAUCCGAUGCUGGGCUGAGAGGAUGAUCUGCCACACUAGAACGGGGACACGGCCCAGACUCCUACGCGAGGCAGCAGUGGGGAAGAGUAGACAAGGGACGCAAGCCUGAUCCAGCCAUACCGCGUGGGUGAAGAAGGCCUUCGGGUUGUAAAGCCCUGUUGUUGUGAAAGAAAAGCAGCAGAUUAAGACCCCGCUGUUCUGACGGUACCCAAAGAAUAAGCACCGGCUAACUUCGUG
rnacentral:rRNA from 1 species